GACGAACGCUGGCGGCGUGCUUAACACAUGCAAGUCGAACGGAAAGGCCCUGCUUUUGUGGGGUGCUCGAGUGGCGAACGGGUGAGUAACACGUGAGUAACCUGCCCUUGACUUUGGGAUAACUUCAGGAAACUGGGGCUAAUACCGGAUAGGAGCUCCUGCUGCAUGGUGGGGGUUGGAAAGUUUCGGCGGUUGGGGAUGGACUCGCGGCUUAUCAGCUUGUUGGUGGGGUAGUGGCUUACCAAGGCUUUGACGGGUAGCCGGCCUGAGAGGGUGACCGGGCACAUUGGGACUGAGAGAGGGCCCAGAAUCCUACGGGAGGCAGCAGGGGAGAAUAUGGCACAGUGGGCGGAAGCCUGAGGCAGCAGCGCCGCGUGCGGGAUGACGGCCUUCGGGUUGUGAACAGCUUUCGCCUGUGACGAAGCGUGAGUGACGGUAAUGGGUAAAGAAGCAACGGCUAACUACGUG
rnacentral:rRNA from 1 species